UACGGGGGGGGCAAGCGUUGUUCGGAAUUACUGGGCGUAAGGGGUUCGUAGGUGGCCUGCUAAGUCAGACGUGAAAUCCCUCAGCUUAACUGGGGAACUGCGUCUGAGACUGGCGGGCUUGAGUGCAGGAGAGGAACGCGGAAUUCCAGGUGUAGCGGUGAAAUGCGUAGAUAUCAGGAGGAACACCGGUGGCGAAGGCGGCCCUCUGGACGGUGACUGACGCUGAGACGCGAAAGCGUGGGGAGCAAACAGG
rnacentral:rRNA from 1 species